CGUACCUACGGGGGGCAGCAGUAGGGAAUUUUCGUCAAUGGGCGCAAGCCUGAACGAGCAAUGCCGCGUGAACGAGGAAGGUCUUCGGAUCGUAAAGUUCUUUUAAGAGGGAAGAGCAGAAGACGGUACCUCUUGAAUAAGCCACGGCUAACUACGUGCCAGCAGCCGCGGUAAUACGUAGGUGGCAAGCGUUGUCCGGAUUCACUGGGUGUAAAGGGCGUGUAGCCGGGCUGACAAGUCAGAUGUGAAAUUCCGGGGCUCAACCCCGGACCUGCAUUUGAAACUGUUGGUCUUGAGUAUCGGAG
rnacentral:rRNA from 1 species